CAUUAUCGAGACGGGGUUCGCCCCGAACUCUCCCCCUGUGUUGUUUUUCCCAGUUGCUUUGGCGGCGAGACCCCCCUGCCUUUAGGGGGGGUGCCCCGCCGAAGGUUUUGAAUCAACCCUGUGUUAGUGUGGUCUGAGGCCCUAGAAAAUCAAAAAACUUUCAACAACGGAUCUCUUGGCUCCGGCAUCGAUGAAGAACGCAGCGAAAUGCGAUAAGUAAUGCGAAUUGCAGAAUUCAGUGAAUCAUCGAAUCUUUGAACGCACAUUGCGCCCCCUGGCACUCCGGGGGGCAUGCCCGUUCGAGCGUCAUCACCCCUCGAGCUCAGGCUCGGUGUUGGGCCGCGUCCCCUGCAUUAGGCGGGGGACGGGCCUGAAGAUCAGUGGCGGUCCCGGGGCCACCCGCGGCGCGAUAAAGCCGUCGCCCGGGUGACGCCUCGGGGGUUCGCCAGGCAACCUCCUACAGGGAACCUUCUCCCUGCGGACCCCUACCGUUUGACCUCGGAUCGGGUAGGGAUACCCGCUGAACUUAAGCAUAUCAAUAAGCGGAGGACAAGAAACCAACCGGGAUUGCCUCAGUAACGGCGAGUGAAGCGGCAACAGCUCAAAUUUGAAAUCUGGUCCUUUCGGGGCCCGAGUUGUAAUUUGCAGAGGGUGCUUCGGGGGCGCGUCGCCGGCCCAAGUGCCUUGGAACAGGACGCCUGGGAGGGUGAGAGCCCCGUACGCGGUCGGUGGCCGCCCCCAACGAAGCCCUUUCGACGAGUCGAGUUGUUUGGGAAUGCAGCUCCAAGCGGGUGGUAAAUUCCAUCUAAAGCUAAAUACCGGCCGGAGACCGAUAGCGCACAAGUAGAGUGAUCGAAAGAUGAAAAGCACUUUGGAAAGAGAGUCAAACAGCACGUGAAAUUGUUGAGAGGGAAGCGCUUGCCCCCAGACCUGCCCGCGGGCGAUCACCCGGACCGUCGGGUCCGGGGCACUCGCCCGCGUUCAGGCCAGCACGGGUUCGGGCGGCGGGAGAACGCGCCCGGGAAAGUAACUCCCCCCGGGGAGCCUUAUAGCCCGGGCGUCAUGCCGCCCGCCCGGACCGAGGACCGCGCUUCGGCUAGGGUGCUGGCGUAAUGGGGGUCAGCGGCCCGUCUUGAAACACGGACCAAGGAGUCUAACGUCCCCGCGAGUGUUCGGGUGUCAAACCCCGGCGCGGAAUGAAAGUGAACGCAGGUGGGAGCCCGGGAGCGAGUCCCGGGCGCACCAUCGACCGAUCCGGAUGUCUUCGGAUGGAUUUGAGUAGGAGCGCGGCCGUUGGGACCCGAAAGAUGGUGAGCUAUGCCUGGGUAGGGUGAAGCCAGAGGAA
rnacentral:rRNA from 1 species